UUAGUCGUGGCUAAGUGGUUAAGGUGAUGGACUUGAAAUCCAUUGGGGUCUCCCUGCGCAUGUUUGAAUCCUGCCGACUAUG
rnacentral:tRNA from 1 species